ACAGUUUGCUUUAACAGCUGUCAUUGUUUAUCCUGCAAUUGUUAGAACCGUUACUAGAGUUCUGGAGGAUGGUGUAUAGUGAAAGACGUAUUAUUAGCAGACUUUGGCUGAUGCGUUGCAGUUGCUUCUUUUGAACUACACGAUGUCGAACAAAAACCUCCUGAACUCUAACAACUGUUCCAAGACAAAUUAUGUAAUAUCAAAAGAGUUAAUCAGUGUUCAAACUCGACAAUAUCUAUGUCUUCACAUGUUUGCCUCCGCUGAUUAUCUCACCGUUGUACCGUGUUGUUAUGUUGAUGAACUUGGCUGUAGCAGGCACUCUAAGGGGAAUAUUAUUGAUUAUUGUCAAACGGUAAAACACAUUCCAUGUGCACAUCGCUAGCGGAUCAUAAACAACGAAGCCUUGUGAAUUCUUGUGGCAUCUGCUGAUCCCAUCUUCUGAAGCCAAAACCAUUACUCAAAAAAAGUUUGUUCAUAGCAUCGCCCCGAUGCAAGAUUAAGCAUGCAAUCAUC
rnacentral:sRNA from 1 species